rnacentral:lncRNA from 1 species
ACACACGACACAACAUAGAAAACUAAAGAAUAAACAACACGAACCCCACCAAAAACUAGGGGUGAUCUCAGGUGCUCCGGAAGGGUAAGUAUGAGAUGACACAAGAUUCUUCAUAUUCUUGUUGAAGGCCGUACGGUGACCUAUAGUUGUUAAUGUCUGUGUCAUUUUGGUCUUUGUGGAUACUUGUCUCAUUGGCAAUCAUACCACAUCUUUUUUUUAUACUUCCCAAAUCUUUAAAUAAUAAAAGUAUAAAUAUUAUUCUAAUAUGCUUGAAAUGUCUGAAAAUUGGUUUCAAUUAACUUGAGGUAUAUUUUCUCAGUAACACUAACCUCACUUUUAUUAGAGGGCUGUUACUACAUUGAGACAAAUGCCUCAUGCAGGAAAUUUCAAAAUCAAACGCUUGUCUCCAUAUCAAAUUGUGUUCACGGCGAGUGCCUUGCAAGAAGCAAGUUCUGGUCUCCCACAGAAGAAGCACCUGAUUUUUCGGGAUCAAUGUUUCUUAUUUAUUUGUCUUUUGUUCAUUGAUUGUCCCUGUGUAUUCUGUUAGUGUUGCAUUCCAUUUGUAAUUUAGUGAUUUUGUUAUUAACUUGAUCAUGAGUGAA